rnacentral:lncRNA from 1 species
CAUGAGGUCUCUUUAGUUUCCAUGACGCUCUAACUCUUCUACUCUUCUGAGAAAAGGGGGGGGGGGGGGAGGAACAUGCACACUGUCUGGCCCUCAUGUGUUUCCCUGUCUCACACUCAAAGCAUGACCAAACAUGAGCGUGCUUCUUAGGAAGAAAAUAAACAGUGUUACUGCAGCACUAAGCUUGAAACUUUUUCCAGUUUCAGCCCAGGUAGAAGGAGAGCGAUUGAAAACUUGGGAUUAUCAGAUUCUAUCUGUGUUGAUGUCAGCCCACUCUUGUCUGUCAUCUCGAUGAUUAUGGUUUUCACAGGAAGACACCUCUUACUUUCACAAAGAGAGAGCAAAGCACUCGUCACUGCGUCAAGGAUGGAUCAUAUUCAUAAAAUGACUCUUUUUCUGCUAAUUGCUGGAGCUCUUGUACAUACAAGUUAUUCUGAGGAUGAAGUAACCAUAUCUCUGAGCCCAGAGUUUGUAAAGGUCAUAUCUGGUUCUUCCUUAAAUCUCACUUGCAAUUUCCAUAUGCUCAAUGGUUCCAGAGUUAACUGGAUGUUUACCAAAACCAUUGACACAUCUAACCUUCAAAAGCUGACACUAUCUCAUAAUGAAGAGGAUCGUAUUCAUCAGAAGAAAGGAAAAUAUUGGUCCAGACUGACAGUGAGGAAUGUGACUGUGAAUGACAGCGGAUGGUACUUUUGUGAAGUCAGAGUAGAGAUUCCUAUACUUAAGAAUUUAGGGCUUAGCAAUGGGAGUCAAGUUAUUGUCGGUAAGUGUUUACCAGCAAAAUCUAAGAAAGAGAACUUGAAAUGUCCAAUUUGGCAACAAUAACUGCUAAAUAAUCAAACUGAUACAAACUAUCAAUCAAUCAAUCAAUGAAUUUAUUUAUUUGAUCAAGAGGGACAGUGUACAUUCAUGAACAUUAAAAUGUAAAUGCACCCAAUUAUAGCCAAAAGGCUAGUUUCCAUUGGCAGUCCCCCUGCCAGAGUGAAAAAAGGCUAUACAACCUACAAGGCAUUAACGUAACUAGACCUCUCAUGUAUUCUCAGCAUAACUGAUUCUGCACGAAAACAGACUUACCUUUGCAAUGUCCUUGAUGGUAAUUAAGACGAUUCAGUCAAGAAAUUCCUAAACAGUUGUCAUUCAUAAGCGUUUGCAAAUACAUUUUCAGAUGAAGAGCUUGUGAGUUUGGUAAUAAUAACUGACAAGUAUAGACUUCUCAUGCAUUUUCUUUAUCACUAAUUCUGCAUAACUGUUCUUGGCUAUGUAUAUUUUUGUGAUAUUCUUCUGUUAAUUAUCAGCUUCACUACAAACCACAUUUGCAGGAUUAAUUUUAUAUUCAGUGAAUAUGGGUUUUAAUAUUCUGACAAAUAAAUGAAUAUGUUUGUCACA